rnacentral:RNase_P_RNA from 1 species
UGAGCUGACCGGGCGGUCGCGGCGUCGGGAGACCGGCGUCGAGGAAGGUCCGGGCUCCACAGGGCAUGGUGGUGGGUAACGCCCACCCGGGGUGACCCGCGGGACAGUGCCACAGAGAACAGACCGCCGUUGCUCGGCUCCGGCCGAGCGGCGGCAAGGGUGAAACGGUGGUGUAAGAGACCACCAGCGCUCCGGGUGACCGGAGCGGCUCGGUAAACCCCACCAGGAGCAAGAUCAAGAGGGCCGGUCCUGGACCGGCCUGCGUGAGCGUUCGAGGGCGGCCCGCCCGAGCUCACGGGUAGAUCGCACGAGGCUGCCGGCAACGGCAGUCCCAGAUGGAUGGCCGCACAUCGCAGGUGACCGCAAGGUCAGCGAGGACAGAACCCGGCCUACAGGUCAGCUCAUCCG